UACAGAGGUGCCAAGCGUUAGGCGGAAUCACUGGGCUUAAAGCGCGUGUAGGCGGGUCGUUAAGUGUCCGAGUGAAAUCCCACGGCUCAACCGUGGAACUGCCGGGCAUACUGGCGAUCUUGAGGCAUUCAGGGGCGAGCGGGAACAAAUGGUGGAGCGGUGAAAUGCGUUGAUAUCCACAGGAACUCCGGUGGCGAAGGCGG
rnacentral:rRNA from 1 species